UACCUCUUAGGGUCGCACCUGGAGAGUUUCCAGUAUUCUACCAGUCUCAGCUAUGGGAGGGAGAGUCAAGCAGAGGCCUAUUCAUUCCAUUCCUGUCUUCGCCGGUGGCUAGCAAGUGGAAGGCCAUCUGCUACAAGU